CAAAUACUCCCUCUAUCCCAAAUUUCUUGUCUUAGAUUUGUCUAGAUACGGAUGUAUCUAAUACUAAAAUGUGACUUGAUACAUCCGUAUCUAGACAAAUCUAAGACAAGAAUUUUGGGACGGAGGGAGUACUUU
rnacentral:pre_miRNA from 1 species